UCAAAUGUUGAUAUGGCUAUGCCUUCAUGGAAGGUGGUAAUGCUUGCCCCAAUGUCAAUUCCAAUCGUACAUAAACUAAACCCUAUCAACUAAUCACUAAACCCUACACGGAAAUAUAAACCCUAAUUCAAUGUCAACUCCAAUCUUUCAUAAACUAAACCCUAGCCACUAAUACUAAAUCCUACAUGGAAAUAUAAACCCUAAUCUAAUGCCCCAACUCUAAUGUCAACCCCAAUCUUUCAUAAAUUAAAUCCAAAUUUCGAAAUACAAGUAACAUGCAUUUCCAUUCUACAUGAGCAUAUAAAAUAGAAAAGGUGAAUAUAUAGUUGCUAUCUAAAGAUCAUCUUAAUAUAUUUCUCAAAUGUUGAUAUGGAUAUAUCUUCAUGAAAAAUGGUAAUGUUUGCCCCAAUGUAAUUGUACAUAAACUAAACCAUAUCAACUAAUCCCAGAAAUAUAAACCCUAAUCCAAAGUUAACCCCAAUCUU
rnacentral:lncRNA from 1 species